CUCCUGGAAACGGGUGGUAAUGCCGGAUGUUCCAGUUGAUCGCAUGGUCUUCUGGGAAAGCUUUCGCGGUAUGGGAUGGGGUCGCGUCCUAUCAGCUUGACGGCGGGGUAACGGCCCACCGUGGCUUCGACGGGUAGCCGGCCUGAGAGGGCGACCGGCCACAUUGGGACUGAGAUACGGCCCAGACUCCUACGGGAGGCAGCAGUGGGGAAUAUUGCACAAUGGGCGCAAGCCUGAUGCAGCGACGCCGCGUGAGGGAUGGAGGCCUUCGGGUUGUAAACCUCUUUUAUCGGGGAGCAAGCGUGAGUGAGUUUACCCGUUGAAUAAGCACCGGCUAACUACGUGCCAGCAGCCGCGGUAAUACGUAGGGUGCAAGCGUUAUCCGGAAUUAUUGGGCGUAAAGGGCUCGUAGGCGGUUCGUCGCGUCCGGUGUGAAAGUCCAUCGCUUAACGGUGGAUCCGCGCCGGGUACGGGCGGGCUUGAGUGCGGUAGGGGAGACUGGAAUUCCCGGUGUAACGGUGGGAUGUGUAGAUAUCGGGAAGAACACC
rnacentral:rRNA from 1 species